CAAAAUAGAAGAAGAGAAGAGGGAAAGGAAGGAAAAAGAAGAAGAAGGAGAAGAGAAAGUGCAGCCUUCUUUUCUGCUGCUGCAUACUGCUACGGCUGUUGUUCCUGCAGCCAUGGUUGCUGCUAUUGAUGCAUAUAAGCAUCUUGUACUCUCCACCACAAGUAAAAGCUGCCUUGGUCUUGAUCUAGCUGAAGAUUUGAGUGAAGGACUGCUGAUCAGUUGUAUGCAUGUAUCAAGAAGCACAAAAGUUUGGUGGAAUAGCAGAGGAGAAGAAAGAAAGAGGAGGGAAGAAAAGAAGAAGAAGAAGAAGGAAGAAGAAGGAAGAAGAAGAAGAGAAGAAGAGGAAGGAAGAAGAAGGAAGGGAGGAUAGAACCAGGGGCAUCUUGCACUCAGAUGGUUGAAUCGAUGCUGAGGCAAGAUUGGAUUUCAGCUGCGGUUGUGAGGCUUGUGUCUACGAGACACUGACUUGCCAGUGGACUUCACUUCUGUUAUUUCAGUUAUUUCUUUUGAUGUAAAUAUUUUACGAAAGGUGUAAUAGUAAUAUUGUAACCUAUUGUUGUUUUCAGACUUGGAAUUUGUAUACUGGUAAAUUAUCAUUUUAGUACACUACUAAGAGUAACUGUAUGCUUUUAUUAGCAUACUCUGAUUUUAGUGGUGA